AAUCAACGCUGGCGGCGUGCCUAACACAUGCAAGUCGAACGCGAAAGGGGCUUCGGCCCUGAGUAGAGUGGCGAACGGGUGAGUAAUACUUAGGAAUCUGCCUAUUAGUGGGGGACAACAUUCCGAAAGGAAUGCUAAUACCGCAUACGCCCUACGGGGGAAAGCAGGGGAUCUUCGGACCUUGCGCUAAUAGAUGAGCCUAAGUCGGAUUAGCUAGUUGGUGGGGUAAAGGCCUACCAAGGCGACGAUCUGUAGCGGGUCUGAGAGGAUGAACCGCCACACUGGGACUGAGACACGGCCCAGACUCCUACGGGAGGCAGCAGUGGGGAAUAUUGGACAAUGGGCGGAAGCCUGAUCCAGCCAUGCCGCGUGUGUGAAGAAGGCCUUUUGGUUGUAAAGCACUUUAAGCGAGGAGGAGGCUCUUAAGGUUAAUACCCUUGAUGAGUGGACGUUACUCGCAGAAUAAGCACCGGCUAACUCUGUGCCAGCCGCCGCAGUAAAAC
rnacentral:rRNA from 1 species